CAUGGGUCUGUAUGGGUUUCAGAAGAUUGUGCCUAUCAAACAUACCCACCACCAUCUCUAGAGGCUUUGCUAAAGCUAGUGGUGCUGCCUAAUAUUGACCAUCCUGUCUGUCCAGGCCAUUAUAAUGUACUUUGUCCUGGAUGUGUCUAACUUCCUGCACUGUAAGGAUGAUCUCCUGCAGUCAUUCUGCCAUGUCUUCAGUAUCCCAUCUGCAUUUUCCCAGCAGAUCUGUGGAUUCUGGCUUCUAGAUCACGGAUUAGUAACAGACUCAAUUAAUGUCUUAUUGAGCCCAAGAGCAUGUCCUCCAACACUGCCAUGGCACCAUUAUGCUGUUCUGAGGACCUUAUUGAAGACAGGAGAGAACCGAGCAGCACUGAAGUAUCUCUACAGCAUCACACCAGUCAUGGAGAACAUUCAAGACAUCAAACUCUGUGUGGAUGUGUUAAUACACAACAAGUAAAUCACAAUGAUUCUUAUGAACCUAAGUUCCUUUGGUGUUUUUGUAAUUGCAGUACAUUGGAGUUAUUAUUAUGGGUUAUGCUUUAUGUUUCAGAUGUAUCUCUGAGGCCUGGGCUCUGAUUAGAGGACUCCAAACUAAAGAUGUUCACCUGUUUAAACAUUUCAUUCAUGUCUGUGAGAAUCAUGGGAUUUGUAGUAAUACGGUGGCCUCUCUGUGUGAGGUGAUUCUAGAUAUCGUAAUGAUUUUCACCCUGGGAUAACUGGUAAACUCUGAAUUUGGUAAAAUGAUGGUAUAAACAAAUUUGUUCUUUGCCAUCCAUCUAUUUUUUGUGGCAGGGGUUGGCUCAUCUCCAGCUGAUAGAAAGCCAAAAUAUGCAGUCCAGUGAAGCACAAAUACUGAAGCAAGAAAGAGUAGGUCAAAAACCAGUAAGAACUGA